AGAUUUCCCUUAAGGACCCUAGUAGACUACUAGGUUGAUAGGCUCUAUGUGGAAGCGUGGUGACACGUGUAGCUUAAGAGUACUAAUCGUCCGUGUGCUUUACCAU
rnacentral:rRNA from 1 species